UAUGCUUCUCCUAAAGACUAAGCCAUGCAUGUCUUCGAAUAAGAGGAAGCAAUUCUCUCUGAAUCUGCGAACGGCUCCGCAAACCAGUUGUAAACUAUAGCAAGCUCGCUCACGUUCCCCCUUCACGGGGGGAGUCUGGGUAAUAGGGAUAACCCUGGUAAUUCUGAGGCUAAUACCACCACGUAAAACCUGGCCGACCGGGCAACCGGAAAGCUGGGGGGCGUGCGAGUGUUUUCGCGAGGUUUACCGGGAAAGGACGCACGUCUCGACCGCGCAAAACGGAUGACCGGGCCCUCGGGCUCGGGCUUCUAGCGGCUCUUGCUGUGUGCUUCUGACCUAUCAACUAGAUGGCAGCGUAAGGGACAUGCUAUGGUGACAACGGGUACAGAGGAUUAGGGUUCGAUCCUGGAGAGUGGGCCUGAGAGAUUGCUCAUACUUCUAAGGAAGGCAGCAGGCGCGCAACGUUCCCAUUGGACAUCGUCCGAGGGCGUUAGGGGACAUAUGAAUGUCUGCCCAUUGGGUGGACAAUUCAAAUGGUCUGUUCUAAACAGGCUCUCGAGUAACAAUUAGAGGA
rnacentral:rRNA from 1 species